rnacentral:piRNA from 1 species
GGCAAAAUGUCAGAAAGAUUAGGUCA